rnacentral:lncRNA from 1 species
GCCUAUAAUAAUAUUCGUAUUGAAUAUAUUGAAGAAUCUUUUUGAAUAUUGUGUUUUGCUUUGCGCUGAGCGUUCUUGAUCCGUCUCCUGCAUUUAGCGGUGGAGGCCGAUGGAGUCACACUCAGCACCACUGAUUGGAGCAUCCGCUGUUCGGCAACAGCGAGUCGCGGCCACGGGAGCGGGCGAUCAACCUGGUUGUGGGAUUUCUGACCGCUCUCAUCGUUUUCAUCACCCUCAUCAGCGCCUUCGUCUUCCACGAGUAUUCGCCGAGAGGAGUCAAUAUCUUUCUAGGCGUUAUUAUCGUCCUCAUCUGUGCAUCACAUCUCACCGUGAUAUGGUGGUACCGGCAGGGCGACCUGGACCCCAAGUUUCGCGUGCUCAUCUUUUUCAACGCGUUCUGCAUCGUGCUGCUAUGCGUAUGCGCCAACCUGUACUUCCACCUGCCGGACCCGAACAAAACCUAGAGACGGCCGCGACACCGGGCCGCCGCGCGUCAGCUCUGCGCCCAUAGUGAGAACUCCCGUGUAUCCGCUCCGUGUGUGUGGGUGUGGGUGUCUGUUUGACAGUGUGUGUUAGUGUAUGUGUGUGAAGCGAUAAUAUGCCAUUCUGAGAGCGGAAGGCAGCCGCUCGUCGGCGGGAUGUGUGGUGAGCUGACUCGGGUGGGCGCGAUUAUCCGCGAUUGGAGGCUAUUCUCGGGCUGGGUUAGGUAUAUUUGUUACCCGGCCAAACGUUUGACAAGGUUAGUGGCCGAUAUCUUUCAGGUUCCUUCUGCAUCGUGCUGAAAACCCGGGAUCGGAAGGAACCACUUAUGAUAUAUGUAUGCGUUGGUG